CGGGUGCGUAACGCGUAUAGAACCUACCUUUUACAGAGGAAUAGCCUUUAGAAAUGAAGAUUAAUGCCUCAUAGUAUUGUAGACUGGCAUCAGUUUAUAAUUAAAGAUUUAUCGGUAAAAGAUGGCUAUGCGUCCUAUUAGUUAGUUGGUAAGGUAACGGCUUACCAAGACAGCGAUAGGUAGGGGUCCUGAGAGGGAGAUCCCCCACACUGGUACUGAGACACGGACCAGACUCCUACGGGAGGCAGCAGUGAGGAAUAUUGGACAAUGGAGGAGACUCUGAUCCAGCCAUGCCGCGUGUAGGAAGAAUGCCCUAUGGGUUGUAAACUACUUUUAUACAGGAAGAAACACUGGUAUGUAUACCAGCUUGACGGUACUGUAAGAAUAAGGACCG
rnacentral:rRNA from 1 species